GUAUCUUUUCACGAUUCUUGAAGUAGUAUUGCGUUUUAUGAUGUAAGUACAGACUACAUGUCUUAUGUUGUGCAGGUGUACACAGAUAACUGGUAAAGUCAGGAAACUUUUCUGGAAGUAUUUCUUUUUGUUGACUGCUAAGAAUUUACACAUUUGUAAUGGAUUAUUAGCAUGAAUUAUGUCAUUGGUUUUCUUACAAGACAUGGACAAUUUUUUCGCCUUGUUUGGGGAACUGUCUUAUCUCAAACCUUUUGGUGCUGUCAAUCUCUGUUUGUUCUCACUGUGUUAAUUCAUCAUUGUUACUGUCUGGUUUUAGACUUGUCUGUUUUGCUGCUUUAGUCUGUUUAAAGGCAUAAGAGUGCGCAAUUUGUUGGACUAGAAAAAUUGGAUAGUAUAUUGGAAGCCCGAUGUAUGUACAAGUUCAAUACUACUUUCCUUGUGACUUGGGUUGUGACUUGGGGCUGUUGUUACAUUUUGGAUAACUUGUCUGUCAGGAACAGUUGCUGAUGAUAUUGCAUUCUUUGUUGUCGUGAUUGUUCAAGUCGUCUCAGAUGAUCAGCUUUUGCUCCUACUCUCUUACUAAAGCAAUAAGCCUUCUGUUGACUGGGGAAUUUUCUGCCUCAUUGCCUCAGAAGAUUUGCAAAUAUCUGCUGCUACGGUUUGUCGCAAUGCUGGACAUUGGCAAAGGAAUCACCAACUAAUGAAUCAUUCGGUGAUGCUAACUCUGUUUCUCAUGUCAUGGAGUAUGCAGUGAAUUUACGGUACUUUAGAUGUAGUUAAACAUUUCAACUGUUUAGCUGUCUUGCUUCUUAUCAGAUUUCUGGUGGUAUCAUUAGUGGUUUGUAUCAUGUACAUGAAUUAAUUAGUUGUUAUUAAAUUAUUCAAUAACUGUUUUCUAUGUUUUCACUACAUCAUUAUGUGUGAUGUAGAUGCUGACCACUCUCUGUGUCCAGUGGAAAAAUAACGACUGCUGUUACACGUACAAGAUGAAGAUCAUCUGUUACAAGUUCAAACAUAACAGCAAAAAAUUGUAUUAAACUUGCACUUCAGGUAGAUUGUUCAUGAUUAUUAACUCAUAUGGAAUAUUUAUAAUAGUGAAAAAUA